rnacentral:rRNA from 1 species
GAUGAACGCUGGCGGCGUGCCUAAUACAUGCAAGUCGAGCGAACAGACGAGGAGCUUGCUCCUCUGACGUUAGCGGCGGACGGGUGAGUAACACGUGGAUAACCUACCUAUAAGACUGGGAUAACUUCGGGAAACCGGAGCUAAUACCGGAUAAUAUAUUGAACCGCAUGGUUCAAUAGUGAAAGACGGUUUUGCUGUCACUUAUAGAUGGAUCCGCGCCGCAUUAGCUAGUUGGUAAGGUAACGGCUUACCAAGGCAACGAUGCGUAGCCGACCUGAGAGGGUGAUCGGCCACACUGGAACUGAGGCACGGUCCAGACUCCUACGGGAGGCAGCAGUAGGGAAUCUUCCGCAAUGGGCGAAAGCCUGACGGAGCAACGCCGCGUGAGUGAUGAAGGUCUUCGGAUCGUAAAACUCUGUUAUUAGGGAAGAGCAAAUGUGUAAGUAACUAUGCACGUCUUGACGGUACCUAAUCAGAAAGCCACGGCUAACUACGUG